rnacentral:rRNA from 1 species
GGUCUCCUCCCAAAGAGUAACGGAGGAGCACGAAGGUGGGCUAAUCACGGUUGGACAUCGUGAGGUUAGUGCAAUGGCAUAAGCCCGCUUGACUGCGAGAAUGACAAUUCGAGCAGGUGCGAAAGCAGGUCAUAGUGAUCCGGUGGUUCUGAAUGGAAGGGCCAUCGCUCAACGGAUAAAAGGUACUCCGGGGAUAACAGGCUGAUACCGCCCAAGAGUUCAUAUCGACGGCGGUGUUUGGCACCUCGAUGUCGGCUCAUCACAUCCUGGGGCUGAAGUCGGUCCCAAGGGUAUGGCUGUUCGCCAUUUAAAGUGGUACGCGAGCUGGGUUUAGAACGUCGUGAGACAGUUCGGUCCCUAUCUGCCGUGGGCGUUGGAAGAUUGAAGGGGGCUGCUCCUAGUACGAGAGGACCGGAGUGGACGAACCUCUGGUGUUCGGGUUGUGUCGCCAGACGCAUUGCCCGGUAGCUAAGUUCGGAAUCGAUAACCGCUGAAAGCAUCUAAGCGGGAAGCGAGCCCUGAGAUGAGUCUUCCCUGAUACUUUAAGUAUCCUAAAGGGUUGUCGGAGACUACGACGUUGAUAGGUCAGGUGUGUAAGUGCUGUGAGGCAUUGAGCUAACUGAUACUAAUUGCCCGUGAGGCUUAACCAUACAACACCCAAGGGGUUU